rnacentral:rRNA from 2 species
GCGUAAGCGCGCGCAGGCGGUCUUUUAAGUCUGAUGUGAAAUCCCACGGCUCAACCUGGGAGGGGCAUUGGAAACUGGGGGGCUUGAGUCGUUGAAGAGGGGAGUGGAAUUCCACGUGUAGCGGUGAAAUGCGUAGAGAUGUGGAGGAACACCAGUGGCGAAGGCGACUCUUUGGUCUGUAACUGACGCUGAGGCGCGAAAGCGUGGGGAGCAAACAGGAUUAGAUACCCUGGUAGUCCACGCCGUAAACGAUGACUGCUUGGUGGUAGAGGGUUUCCGCCCUUUAUUGCUGCACCAAACGCAUUAAUCACUCCGCCGGGGGAGUACGGCCGCAAGGCUGAAACUCAAAGGAAUUGACGGGGGCCCGCACAAGCGGGGGAGCAUGUGGUUUAAUUCGAAGCAACGCGAAAAACCUUACCAGGUCUUGACAUCUCCUGACAAUCCUAAAGAUAGGACGUUCCCCUUCGGGG